rnacentral:rRNA from 1 species
CUGCAGCUCAAGUGGUGGCCGCUAUUAUUGGGCCUAAAACGUCCGUAGCCUGUUUAGUAAAUGCUUGGGUAAAUUGUGUAGCUUAACUAUACGAAUACCGGGUAGACUGCUAAACUUGGGACCGGGAGAGGCUAGAGGUACUCCUGGGGUAGAGGUGAAAUUCUGUAAUCCUAGGGGGACCACCAGUGGCGAAGGCGUCUAGCUAGAACGGGUCUGACGGUGAGGGACGAAGCCCUGGGGCACAAACCGGAUUAGAUACCCGAGUAGUCC